rnacentral:ncRNA from 1 species
AACGUCUGCGGUGCGCCGGUUAAUGCCGGCGAGAAUAGGGAAGCCGGGUGGAAAUCCCGCGCGGGACCGCCGCUGUAACAGGGAAGCAUCCCAAAAAACGCCACUGUGGUUGCACACGGGAAGGUUUGGGAUGCACGGCCCUCGAGCCAGAAGACCUGCCGCAGAAC